UACAGAGGUCUCAAGCGUUGUUCGGAUUCAUUGGGCGUAAAGGGUGCGUAGGUGGCGCGGGAAGUCGGGUGUGAAAUUUCGGAGCUUAACUCCGAAACUGCAUUCGAUACUGCCGUGCUUGAGGACUGGAGAGGAGACUGGAAUUUACGGUGUAGCAGUGAAAUGCGUAGAGAUCGUAAGGAAGACCAGUGGCGAAGGCGGGUCUCUGGACAGUUCCUGACACUGAGGCACGAAGGCCAGGGGAGCAAACGGG
rnacentral:rRNA from 1 species